rnacentral:lncRNA from 1 species
GAAAAGGAGCAGUAGUAAAUUAGGACUCGGUGAUGUACCUGUCCACAAACACAGGCGAUUUGAGUCUAUCAUAAAUCAAAUGAUCUAUGUGUUGAUCACAUUUAUGAAAACAACAAUAAUAUAUUACGAUAUCGAAUGAGCAUCAUUAGAUCCGAAAUAUAUUUUCAUAUUUGUUUUUUAUGUGGUAAUAUGUUUUUUUAGGGCGGCAACGGUGGGCGGAGAUCGCCCACCUGAACUCAAUUGAUUUGGGGCAAUUUCGUUCAAAAAAAAAUUGAUUUGGG